UCCGAGUAGACCGCCUGGGGAGUACGGUCGCAAGAUUAAAACUCAAAGGAAUUGACGGGGACCCGCACAAGCGGUGGAUGAUGUGGAUUAAUUCGAUGCAACGCGAAAAACCUUACCUACGCUUGACAUGUCUGGAAUCCUGUAGAGAUGCGGGAGUGCUCGAAAGAGAGCCAGAACACAGAUGCUGCAUGGCUGUCGUCAGCUCGUGUCGUGAGAUGUUGGGUUAAGUCCCGCAACGAGCGCAACCCCCGUGGUGUGUUGCCAUCAUUAAGUUGGGGACUCACGCCAGACUGCCGGUGACAAACCGGAGGAAGGUGGGGAUGACGUUGACGUCAUAACC
rnacentral:misc_RNA from 1 species